GUGAUAGAGGCGCGGGCUUUAUCAGUAGUCGGGACGCGGCGCGGGAACGCCGCCGACAAAAGGAAAGCUCGCCGAAGCAUAGGCUCUUUUCCCGAAAAGCGUAUGCUGGGAUAACGCGGAACACGCGUUAUACUGUCGUUAUGGGGGCCUGUGCCCCGAACGGAGUGCUAUUC
rnacentral:ncRNA from 1 species